UACGUAGGGUGCGAGCGUUGUCCGGAAUCAUUGGGCGUAAAGAGCGUGUAGGCGGCCAGAUAAGUCCGCUGUGAAAUCUCGAGGCUCAACUUCGAGCUGUCGGUGGAAACUGUCUGGCUAGAGUCCGGAAGAGGAGAAUGGAAUUCCUGGUGUAGCGGUGAAAUGCGCAGAUAUCAGGAAGAACACCCGUGGCGAAGGCGGUUCUCUGGACGGUACUGACGCUGAGACGCGAAGCGUGGGGAGCGAACAGG
rnacentral:rRNA from 1 species